UGGGGAAUAUUGCACAAUGGGCGAAAGCCUGAUGCAGCAACGCCGCGUGAGUGAUGAAGGCCUUCGGGUUGUAAAGCUCUGUCUUUUGGGACGAUAAUGACGGUACCAAAGAAGGAAGCCACGGCUAACUACGUGCCAGCAGCCGCGGUAAUACGUAGGUGGCAAGCGUUGUCCGGAUUUACUGGGCGUAAAGGAUGCGUAGGCGGAUUUUUAAGUGAGAUGUGAAAUACCCGGGCUUAACUUGGGUGCUGCAUUUCAAACUGGGAAUCUAGAGUGCGGGAGAGGAGAAUGGAAUUCCUAGUGUAGCGGUGAAAUGCGUAGAGAUUAGGAAGAACACCAGUGGCGAAGGCGAUUCUCUGGACCGUAACUGACGCUGAGGCAUGAAAGCGUGGGUAGCAAACAGGAUUAGAUACCCUGGUAGUCCACGCCGUAAACGAUGAGUACUAGGUGUAGGAGGUAUCGACCCCUUCUGUGCCGCAGUUAACACAAUAAGUACUCCGCCUGGGAAGUACGAUC
rnacentral:rRNA from 1 species